rnacentral:rRNA from 1 species
UACGUAGGGUGCGAGCGUUGUCCGGAAUUACUGGGCGUAAAGAGCUCGUAGGUGGUUUGUCGCGUUGUUCGUGAAAACUCACGGCUCAACUGUGAGCGUGCGGGCGAUACGGGCAGACUAGAGUACUGCAGGGGAGACUGGAAUUCCUGGUGUAGCGGUGGAAUGCGCAGAUAUCAGGAGGAACACCGGUGGCGAAGGCGGGUCUCUGGGCAGUAACUGACGCUGAGGAGCGAAAGCGUGGGGAGCGAACAGG